CGCGGCCUAUCAGCUUGUUGGUGAGGUAACGGCUCACCAAGGCGACGACGGGUAACCGGCCUGAGAGGGUGACCGGUCACACUGGGACUGAGACACGGCCCAGACUCCUACGGGAGGCAGCAGUGGGGAAUAUUGCACAAUGGGCGCAAGCCUGAUGCAGCAACGCCGCGUGAGGGAUGACGGCCUUCGGGUUGUAAACCUCUUUUAGCAGGGAAGAAGCGAAAGUGACGGUACCUGCAGAAAAAGCACCGGCUAACUACGUGCCAGCAGCCGCGGUAAUACGUAGGGUGCAAGCGUUGUCCGGAAUUAUUGGGCGUAAAGAGCUCGUAGGCGGUUUGUCACGUCUGCUGUGAAAAUCCAAGGCUCAACCUUGGACUUGCAGUGGGUACGGGCAGGCUAGAGUGCGGUAGGGGAGAUGGGAAUUCCUGGUGUAGCGGUGGAAUGCGCAGAUAUCAGGAGGAACACCAAUGGCGAAGGCACAUCUCUGGGCCGUAACUGACGCUGAGGAGCGAAAGCGUGGGGAGCGAACAGGAUUAGAUACCCUGGUAGUCCACGCCGUAAACGGUGGGUGCUAGCUGUGGGCCACAUUCCACGUGGUCCGUGACGAAGUUAACACAUUAAGCACCCCGCCUGGGGAGUACGG
rnacentral:rRNA from 1 species